CUUUUUUCCUUUUUUUUUUUUUCCUCAGAAAAGGAAAUGCACUAGAAGUUGGAUUUGUAAAUAGCUUUCUCUGACCCAUUAUGAAAUAUUUCAAAUUUGGAGGAGGAACCCAGCUCUACAAAAUAGACCCAGAUCUUUGCUGAGUGCUUUCAUAAAACUAAUGGUAGUUUUUCAGAAGAGUUUAUAUCAGCAUUUUGAAGGAGGAUAAUGAGAUUACUUGAAGCCACCAGAGCUGCUCCCAGGAGAUGAAGUCUAGAAAAGAACUGAAAAUCAAGCAAAUAGGUGUGGGUAAGUGCUCACUGUAUGGGUGGAUGGUACGAAGAAGCUUAUGUCUAGGGACUCAACAUGAUGCAGGAGGUCAACAAAGAAUUUUUGAGUAAAGCCAAAAUCUUGUAUUGGCUGACAAAAGGAGGAAAUAUAGUGGGACACCUAAGAAGGAAAUCAUAGUAAAAAGUUUUUCUUGUAGCAGCAUUUUGGAUGGAUGGAUGGAUGGAUGGAUGGAUGGAUGGAUGGAUGGAUGGCAGGCAA